UACGUAGGUGGCAAGCGUUGUCCGGAUUUACUGGGCGUAAAGAGCGCGCAGGCGGUCAAGUAAGUCGAAUGUGAAAGCCCCCGGCUCAACUGGGGAGGGUCAUUCGAUACUGCUCGACUCGAAGGCAGGAGAGGGAAGUGGAAUUCCCGGUGUAGUGGUGAAAUGCGUAGAUAUCGGGAGGAACACCAGUGGCGAAGGCGACUUUCUGGCCUGUUCUUGACGCUGAGGCGCGAAAGCUAGGGGAGCAAACGGG
rnacentral:rRNA from 1 species